AUUGAACAAAGCAUUAUAUGGACUCAGAAAA
rnacentral:sRNA from 1 species